CUACUUGCCAGCAGCCGCGGUAAUACGUAGGGUGCGAGCGUUAAUCGGAAUUACUGGGCGUAAAGCGAGCGCAGACGGUUACUUAAGCAGGAUGUGAAAUCCCCGGGCUCAACCUGGGAACUGCGUUCUGAACUGGGUGACUAGAGUGUGUCAGAGGGAGGUAGAAUUCCACGUGUAGCAGUGAAAUGCGUAGAGAUGUGGAGGAAUACCGAUGGCGAAGGCAGCCUCCUGGGAUAACACUGACGUUCAUGCUCGAAAGCGUGGGUAGCAAACAGGAUUAGAUACCCUGGUAGUCCACGCCCUAAACGAUGUCAAUUAGCUGUUAGGCAACUUGAUUGCUUAGUAGCGUAGCUAACGCGUGAAAUUGACCGCCUGGGGAGUACGGUCGCAAGAUUAAAACUCAAAGGAAUUGACGGGGACCCGCACAAGCGGUGGAUGAUGUGGAUUAAUUCGAUGCAACGCGAAGAACCUUACCUGG
rnacentral:rRNA from 1 species